GCAAACUUGGUCAUUUAGAGGAAGUAAAAGUCGUAACAAGGUUUCCGUAGGUGAACCUGCGGAAGGAUCAUUAAUGAAUCGUAAGGACGCUCUCUUUAGAGGUCCGACCCUUCAUUUUUCUACCCUGUGCACACACUGUUUUUUACACCCAUUUUAUAACUCGUCAGUUGUAAGAAUGUCAUCUUCUCGAAAGAGUAAUAAAUUAUAAUAAAACUUUUAGCAACGGAUCUCUUGGCUCUCGCAUCGAUGAAGAACGCAGC
rnacentral:misc_RNA from 1 species